rnacentral:rRNA from 1 species
GCCUACGGGGGGCAGCAGUGGGGAAUAUUGCACAAUGGGCGAAAGCCUGAUGCAGCGACGCCGCGUGAAGGAUGAAGUAUUUCGGUAUGUAAACUUCUAUCAGCAGGGAAGAAAAUGACGGUACCUGACUAAGAAGCCCCGGCUAACUACGUGCCAGCAGCCGCGGUAAUACGUAGGGGGCAAGCGUUAUCCGGAUUUACUGGGUGUAAAGGGAGCGUAGACGGCGAUGCAAGCCAGAUGUGAAAGCCCGGGGCUCAACCCCGGGACUGCAUUUGGAACUGUGUGGCUGGAGUG